rnacentral:lncRNA from 1 species
AUUAAACAAAUGAAUUCAAAGCACUCAAAUAGCUGGGAUCUUCAAAGUGACAAGGACCUCAUCCCCGGGCCCAGGGCAGGCUGGCACUGCCAAGGGAACAUUUCCUGCAGUGGUGGAGCCGCUCACAGGGAGCGAGCAGGGGAGGGAAGCCAUGGACAGAGCACAGGAUGGCCAGGGAAGGGGCAGCAGCAGCUCCAGCCCUGCUGCACCCUCUGGGGACACAGGACAGACCAGUUCCAGGUUGGGAAGGCAUUUGUGGGCUCUCCUUCAUGGCCAGAUUACACAGGGCCUUCCCCUGGGUGUUUGUGCCUCAGCACCACUCCCUGUUAAUUUGGGGUUUGUGCUGAAUAAAUAGUGCCUGGCUAUUUGAUUUUAUUUUUUU